UGGGGAAUUUUGCACAAUGGGGGAAACCCUGAUGCAGCGACGCCGCGUGAUUUAGAAGGCCUUCGGGUUGUAAAAAUCUUUUCUAUGGGAAGAAAAUGACAGUACCAUAGGAAUAAGGACCGGCUAAUUACGUGCCAGCAGCCGCGGUAAUACGUAAGGUCCGAGCGUUGUCCGGAAUCAUUGGGCGUAAAGGGUACGUAGGCGGGUAAGCAAGUUAGAAGUGAAAUCCUAUAGCUCAACUAUAGUAAGCUUUUAAAACUGCUCAUCUUGAGGUAUGGAAGGGAAAGUGGAAUUCCUAGUGUAGCGGUGAAAUGCGCAGAUAUUAGGAGGAAUACCGGUGGCGAAGGCGACUUUCUGGCCAUAACCUGACGCUGAGGUACGAAAGCGGGGGUAGCAAACAGG
rnacentral:rRNA from 1 species